GAUGAACGCUGGCGGCGUGCCUAAUACAUGCAAGUCGAGCGAACAGACGAGGAGCUUGCUCCUCUGACGUUAGCGGCGGACGGGUGAGUAACACGUGGAUAACCUACCUAUAAGACUGGGAUAACUUCGGGAAACCGGAGCUAAUACCGGAUAAUAUAUUGAACCGCAUGGUUCAAUAGUGAAAGACGGUUUUGCUGUCACUUAUAGAUGGAUCCGCGCCGCAUUAGCUAGUUGGUAAGGUAACGGCUUACCAAGGCAACGAUGCGUAGCCGACCUGAGAGGGUGAGCGGCCACACUGGAACUGAGACACGGUCCGGACUCCUACGGGAGGCAGCAGGAGGGAAUCUUCCGCAAUGGGCGAAAGCCUGACGGAGCAACGCCGCGUGAGUGAUGAAGGUCUUCGGAUCGUAAAACUCUGUUAUUAGGGAAGAACAAAUGUGUAAGUAACUAUGCACGUCUUGACGGUACCUAAUCAGAAAGCCACGGCUAACUACGUG
rnacentral:rRNA from 1 species